GACGAACGCUGGCGGCGUGCUUAAUACAUGCAAGUCAACUGAACUUUAGGUAGCAAUAUUUAAAGGGAGGUGGCGCACGGGUGAGUAACACGUAGGUAAUCUGCCUUCAGGACUGACAUAACUCCGCGAAAGCGGGACUAAAAUCAGAUGAUGCAGCGGCUCGACAUCGAGACAGUUGUUAAACCUUCGGGGCCUGAAGAUGAGCCUGCGUCUGAUUAGGUAGUUGGAGGGGUAAUGGCCCACCAAGCCUGCGAUCAGUAGCUGGUCUGAGAGGAUGAUCAGCCACACUGGAACUGAGACACGGUCCAGACUCCUACGGGAGGCAGCAGUAAGGAAUAUUGCUCAAUGGCCGAAAGGCUGAAGCAGCAACGCCGCGUGGAGGAUGAAAUACUUUAGUAUGUAAACUCCUGUAAGAGGGGAAAAAUAUACAGUUCUGCUGUAUUGAUUGUACCCUCAGAGUAAGCACCGGCUAACUACG
rnacentral:rRNA from 1 species